UCUCUCUGCAGCAGCAGAGGAAGGGCCUGUACCUCCCUACCAAUGACCUGGUGUCCUUAUUUUCUACCCCAAGAGCAGGGAUAUUAGCUGUGUCCAAAUGGGUUCUGAAUUCUACAGACUCAUCAACAUGAGGCAAGGAAUCAUUGAAAACCACCUGUGUCUCCUUUGGGAGAAUGACAUAUCUUUAGUAUUUACGUAGCUUAUUCUUCUAUAUCUACAUAUGCAAAGCUUUCCUUAACAGUAAAGGGUACAUAUGCAUAGUGGGAGGAGAUCAGACCUUUACAAGUGAAGGAAAGCAACUUCAGAAAUGAAUUAUUUUCUUUGCUUUGUUAUUUUUACCAAGACAG
rnacentral:lncRNA from 1 species